rfam:Gordonia sihwensis NBRC 108236 DNA, contig: GSI01S34.
GGCGUUUUUCGCGGCAGCGGAGCUCGACCGCAAGAUCAAGUAGAGGUACCCACCGCGGUGCUGGUCGACUAUAUCGAUCAGCACCGCGACCGGUUCGGGGUCGAGCCGAUCUGCGCUGUGGUGAAGGACGCCGGCGUGCAGAUCGCCCCG